UAACAAUGAAUUUGGGAUUUUCGUGAAAUGGAAAUGGUUUUCUACCCCUCGUGGUAGCGAGUUUUAAAAAGAAAAGGUUUCUGUGUGGGAAACAGUUUUCAAAAGGUUUUCUCGUGGUUUUCAUGACUUAGUAUUUCAAAACAAGUUUCCGGGUAGGAAACAUUUUAAACUAAAGUUGUGGACCUUUGGAUAAACUCUGAAUGUGAAAAUGUUGGUGAAUGGUGUAUGAAUGUAUGAUUGUUGAUAUAUUCAGUUGUGGUGGUUGUGUUCUAUUAUGUACCUUGUAUUUAUGCGACGCCGUGCAGAUACAGGGGAGACUUUGUCCGUAUGAACAGUGGACUCCCUGCAUUUAUGGCGGAUCUAGCAUACCCUGGGUCAGGUUUUCAAAAAAAAAUUUAGACACUUCUGCUAUGUUUUUUUUAAACUAAAAAUGUAAGGUAUUAGAU
rnacentral:lncRNA from 1 species